rnacentral:snRNA from 1 species
AUACGUAUUUGGCAGGGGAGAUACCAUGAUCACGAAGGUAGUUUUCCCAGGGCAAGGCUCAUCCGUUGCACUCUGGAUGUGCUGACCCCUGUGAUUUCCCCAAAUGUGGGAAACUUGACUGCAUAAUUUGUGGUAGUGGGGGACUGCGUUCACACUUUCUCCUA